GUGCUUGCUUCGGCAGCACAUAUACUAAAAUUGGAACGAUACAGAGAUUAGCAUGGCCCCUGCGCAAGGAUGAGAAUCCUCCAAUGCGGAUCUAAGAAAGCAGUG